rfam:Natronobacterium gregoryi SP2, complete genome.
CCUGUACGGCUUUGCCACAGGUCGGGAUGUGAUCCGCGGGGCCGACGCCUCGUUGAGAUUGAACCAGGAA